GACGGUAACAGCCCGGUAGUUGAAAUGGCUUUCCCUCCAGAGUGGAUCCUGAGUACGGCGGAACACGUGAAAUUCCGUCGGAAUCCGGGAGGACCAUCUCCCAAGGCUAAAUACUCCCUAGUGACCGAUAGUGAACCAGUACCGUGAGGGAAAGGUGAAAAGCACCCCGGAAGGGGAGUGAAACAGUUCCUGAAACCGUGUGCCUACAAGUAGUUAGAGCCCGUUAAUGGGUGAUAGCGUGCCUUUUGUAGAAUGAACCGGCGAGUUACGAUUUGUUGCAAGGUUAAGCGGAAAAAGCGGAGCCGUAGCGAAAGCGAGUCUGAAUAGGGCGCAUAAGUAACAGGUCGUAGACCCGAAACCAGGUGAUCUACCCAUGUCCAGGAUGAAGGUAAGGUAAUACUUACUGGAGGUCCGAACCCACGCACGUUGAAAAGUGCGGGGAUGAGGUGUGGGUAGCGGAGAAAUUCCAAUCGAACUUGGAGAUAGCUGGUUCUCUCCGAAAUAGCUUUAGGGCUAGCCUCGAGGUAAAGAGUCAUGGAGGUAGAGCACUGUUUGGACUAGGGGCCCUUCUCGGGUUACCGAAUUCAGAUAAACUCCGAAUGCCAUGUACUUAUACUCGGGAGUCAGACUGCGAGUGAUAAGAUCCGUAGUCGAAAGGGAAACAGCCCAGACCACCAGUUAAGGUCCCCAAAUAUAUGUUAAGUGGAAAAGGAUGUGGGGUUGCUUAGACAACCAGGAUGUUGGCUUAGAAGCAGCCACCAUUGAAAGAGUGCGUAAUAGCUCACUGGUCGAGUGACCCCGCGCCGAAAAUGUACCGGGGCUAAACAUAUUACCGAAACUGUGGAUGAACCUCUUUAGAGGUUCGUGGUAGGAGAGCGUUCUAAGGGCGGUGAAGUCAGACCGGAAGGACUGGUGGAGCGCUUAGAAGUGAGAAUGCCGGUAUGAGUAGCGAAAGAAGGGUGAGAAUCCCUUCCACCGAAUAUCUAAGGUUUCCUGAGGAAGGCUCGUCCGCUCAGGGUUAGUCGGGACCUAAGCCGAGGCCGAUAGGCGUAGGCGAUGGACAACAGGUAGAGAUUCCUGUACCAGUGCUAAUUGUUUAACCGAUGGGGUGACACAGAAGGAUAGGGAAUCGCACGAAUGGAAAUGUGCGUCCAAGCAGUGAGUGUGAGAAGUA
rnacentral:rRNA from 1 species